GACUAAUAUAAUUUGAGUUUUAUUAAUGUGAAGUUUACACAAAGCUUCUUAUUUAGAAUUUCCAGACUGAGAUAACACUAACUACCAAAAAAUACAGUAAGUGACACAGGUUUGUAAUUUUUAACAUAUUAACGCUUAACAGCUAUUAAAACGUGAGCUUGGUAAAUAUUUGUGUCUUCUGUCCUGAGUUGAAUACUGAUUUACUUUCUUUUGGUUUUAGCCAUGGUGCAGUUCAAACUUCUAUGUCUGCUUAUGGCAACAGUCCAGGUACUUGGCUACUUCAUCUCAGGUGAUGCAAUAACUUUGCCGGAAGAAAUUGGUGUCAAGAUUGAGCUACCAGAGGACAUUAAGUGUUGUAGAAAAUGUGACAGUGCAAACUGUUUGAUUGAUAACUCAAAGAUUCAAAUGAAAGACCACCAUUUAACAAUAAACAACCUUGAAACAUCUGACAGUGGGACCUACUGCUGUAGAACCUCACAGAAAGACUGUAGUCUGGAGCUGAAGGUAGCAACUGGUGAGGAUCUUAAUCCUUUCCUAAAUUGCAUUGUUUCUAGUAAAUUGUAGUUAUUAUACUGUAGAGUAUUCAAAGUAUUUGCAGGCGAAAUGAACACAGAAUAAAUAAAUUAUUCAAUCAAAUAAACUAUUACAGUCUAUCUUCACUUUGUAAAUGUCCCUUAUAUCAAUGUCGAUGCAGUCACUGAAUGGAUAAACAACUGUGUUAGAAGUCAACCUUGUAUGGCUCACACCCAGAGCUGCCAUUGCCUCAUAUGUGACAGCAGGUAGGUUAAUGCCAUUAGAAAUAUGAGUCAUCACGUCUGUGUCCAUCUGAUUUAUCAAGACUUGUGAUGAGCUGUAAAUUAUUUCCACAGUUUAGGGAAGUCAGCAAUCGCUGAGGUGACGAUAAACUUUGACACAUGCUCUGUCUCGGGUUACAGAUGUAUUAGCACGACUGGUUCAACACCCACAGGCUCCUCCUCCUCUGGCUCCUGCUCCUGCUCCUGCUCCAAUGAUGCAGGACUUCAGUUUUACGAUGACCCCAGGAGCUGGUUUGAAGCCCUC